UUCUCACAUUACACUUCGUCAGGUCAAAUCCAAAAUGGGAAAGGAGAGAAUGCCUUAGGACUAUUCAAAGUGAUUCCCUUAACCUAAUAAAACCUCAUGUGGAGAAAUAUGAAUCUUGUGCAGAAAAAUUGCGUACAAGAUCAUCUGGAUGCAUCUUUAAAUGGACUUUAACUGGAAACUGUCGGGAGUUGCAGGAAAUACAAAAGAUGAUAAG